UAGUAAGGUCAGCUAAAUAAGCUCUUGGGCCCAUACCCCAACCAUGUAGGUUAAAGUCCUUCCCUUCCUAA
rnacentral:tRNA from 1 species